rnacentral:rRNA from 1 species
UACGUAGGGUGCAAGCGUUAAUCGGAAUACUGGGCGUAAAGCGUGCGCAGGCGGUGGUGUAAGACAGGUGUGAAAUCCCCGGGCUAACCUGGGAACUGCAUUUGUGACUGCAUCGCUGGAGUGCGGCAGAGGGGGAUGGAAUUCCGCGUGUAGCAGUGAAAUGCGUAGAUAUGCGGAGGAACACCGAUGGCGAAGGCAAUCCCCUGGGCCUGCACUGACGCUAAAGCGCGACAGCAUGGGGAGCAAACGGG